AUUNNNAGAUAGCCANGCANGUCUAGUACAUGCCGUAUUAAGGCGAAACCGCGAAUGGCUCAUUAAAUCAGUUAUGGUUCCUUGGAUCGUACCUUACUACUUGGAUAACUGUGGCAAUUCUAGAGCUAAUACAUGCAGCAGAGCUCCGACCUUCGGGGACGAGCGCUUUUAUUAGACCAAAACCAAUCGGACCUCGUGUCCGUACUUUGUGGUGACUCUGUAUAACUUUGGGCUGAUCGCACGGGCCCGUCCCGGCGACGUAUCUUUCAAGUGUCUGCCUUAUCAACUUUCGAUGGUAGGUUACGCGCCUACCAUGGUCGUAACGGGUAACGGGGAAUCAGGGUUCGAUUCCGGAGAGGGAGCCUGAGAAACGGCUACCACAUCCAAGGAAGGCAGCAGGCGCGCAAAUUACCCACUCCCAGAACGGGGAGGUAGUGACGAAAAAUAACAAUACGGGACUCUUUUGAGACCCCGUAAUUGGAAUGAGUACACUCUAAAUCCUUUAACGAGGAUCCAUUGGAGGGCAAGUCUGGUGCCAGCAGCUGCGGUAAUUCCAGCUCCAAUAGCGUAUAUUAAAGUUGUUGCGGUUAAAAAGCUCGUAGUUGGAUCUCAGUUCCAGACGGGUGGUCCGCCUACCGGUGGUUACUGCCUGUUCUGAACAGCCAGCCGGUUUCUCUUGAUGAUCUUCACCGGUUGUCUUGGGUGACCGGCAAGUUUACUUUGAAAAAAUUAGAGUGCUCAAAGCAGGCGUGACGCCUGAAUAAUGGUGCAUGGAAUAAUGGAAUAGGACCUCGGUUCUAUUUUGUUGGUUUUCGGAACACGAGGUAAUGAUUAAGAGGGACAGACGGGGGCAUUCGUAUUGCGACGCUAGAGGUGAAAUUCUUGGACCGUCGCAGACGACUACUGCAGANUUUUUUUU
rnacentral:rRNA from 1 species